AACUUACCUGGAAACUUGCAGAAGAGCGGCGCUUGGGGAGCUCCACUUUGACGGUUUCGCUCUUUCUCUCUACAAAACACGGACCCUCUCUCUUUCUCUUUCUCAUUCUCAGAUUCUCUCUCUAAAAUCGGUGAACCUCCUAACUAUUCCGACGAGGUCGCCGGUUCUACCACCGCCGCCGCGGCGUUAUGCACCGACGGCCCUGCCUUGCAAUCUGGCUUACUUUCAUCUCGGAAAAUCUUGAUCUCGCAUAACUGUCGACAUUGCCGAAUAUUUUGGUGCACGUGAUCUGUUUGAUAAAUUGCUUCUAGUUUUGAAUGAGAAAUAUUGCACAUGACCUGUUUGAUAAAUUGCUUCUACUUUUGAAUAUAAAAUAUUGCACAUGAUCCAUUUGAUAAAUUGCUCUUGUUUUUGAAUGAGAAAUAUUGCACAUGAUCUGUUUGAUAAAUUCCGAAGCUCCUUUGGAAGUUAAUUAUCUCAAUGUCUGAAAAAAGGGAUAGGAAUUGUUUUAAAAUUUGUUUGGCUGUUGAUUGAAGAGACUACGAUGCCCUGCAUUGCCAUUGAUUUGUCAUUGCAGUGAGGAUUUUAGGUUUCCUUUGUAGGAGACUUCAUUAUCCAAGAGACUAGGAUGAAUUGCCGUUGAUAAAUAAUUGCAGUGAGAAUUUUCAGUUUCCUUUGAAAUGUGUAUCUUAUGAAGUUUAUAACCAUCCUAUUUUUGACACCACUGAAAGCUUUUAGCAAGGAAAUGAUUAUGGAAUUCCCUGACCUCUGGUUUUGGAUGGGGCUUAGUCUAGAAUUUUGUUUCAUACCUUUUGAGCAUGGUGUUUUGAACUGCUCUUUCUUGUGAUGUGGUACGAUUAUAUCGUUAUUCCUUUAAAUUUAACCCCACACUCUAUUAUUUAUUUAAGCUUGGUUAGUGAAGGAGGGAAUAUGCAUUCCCUAUACAUUAGGGAGUAGAGACAAUCACUCGAUAGAGAACGCCAUAUGGCUUGUUUUA